ensembl:snRNA U6 U6 spliceosomal RNA
GUGCUCAUUUCAACAACACUAAUACUAAAAUUUGAAUGAUACAGAGAACAUCAACAUAGCUCCUGCACAGGUAUGAGGUGCAAUUUCAUGAAGUGUUCCAUACUUUU